AUUGAACGCUGGCGGCAGGCCUAACACAUGCAAGUCGAACGAGUGGCGGACGGGUGAGUAAUGUCUGGGAAACUGCCUGAUGGAGGGGGAUAACUACUGGAAACGGUAGCUAAUACCGCAUACCAUCAGAUGUGCCCAGAUGGGAUUAGCUAGUAGGUGAGGUAACGGCUCACCUAGGCGACGAUCCCUAGCUGGUCUGGGAGGAUGACCAGCCACACUGGAACUGAUAAACGGUCCAGACUCCAACGGGGGGCAGCAGUGGGGAAUAUUGCACAAUGGGCACAAUCCUGAUGCAGCCAUGCCGCGGGUAUGAAGAAGGCCUUCGGGUUUUAAAGUACUUUCAGCGGGGAGGCGUUACCCGCAUAAGAAGCACCGGCUAACUCCGUGCCAGCAGCCGCGGUAAUAC
rnacentral:rRNA from 1 species